rnacentral:snRNA from 1 species
AUAAUUUAGUUUCUCUUCAGAUCAUAUAAAUCUUUCACUUUUUACUAAAGAUUUCUGUGGAGAGAAACAAGUUUGAGCUUUUAGACAACUUUUGAGGACAUUCUUUAGCAAGAU